CACUUGUAAGGUUUUUCCACAGUGUGCACUCUCAAAUGUAUUUUCAAAUGGUCUUUCUGAGCAAACUGCUUAAAACAAAUUUCACACUUGUGAGGUUUUUCCCCAGUGUGCACUCUCAAAUGUAUUUUCAAAUGGUCUUUCUGAGCAAACUGCUUAAAACAAAUUUCACACUUGUAAGGUUUUUCCCCAGUGUGCACUCUCAAAUGUAUUUUCAAAUGGUCUUUCUGAGCAAACUGCUUAAAACAAAUUUCACACUUGUGAGGUUUUUCUCCAGUGU